GUGGCUGCUAGCCGCCCCGAGCAUGCGCACUACCCGCACUAGCAGGUAGUGUGGCUGAGCUGCCCCGCGCAUGCGCACUACCCGCACUAGCAGGUAGUGUGGGCUGAGAGCUGCCCUGCGCAUGCGCUCUCUAGCACUGCCGCGCCGCGUCUCUCUAUCUUAGCAACGCCGCACCGCGCAUCACCGUUCCACUCACACAUACACACACACGCACAAGCACGCACGUCCGGACGUAACAGACACACUACACUGCAAUCGGGACACACACCACACACUGAAAUCGCGAUUUCGCCCUCCCCGAGCCGCGCUAUCAGCUGGGGAGGUCCUCCCGCCGCCGGCCUCUCCCCCGAUGGCGGUCUGCUUGCAAGCCCCUAGGCAAACCUGCGCGCAAAAACAUCUUUUUGCGACUUAUCAGUGCCAACCUUAAGAAAAUAAAUUAAUACAUACCGCUUUCAUCCGCUAGUCGACGGGCCGUGGUAUGCUCCCCGCAGUGUACAGCCGAGGCGCAGAGUCCCUCCGGGGAAAAGCCCCGUGGCGCCUGAGGGUGUCUGCUCCCAACCGGACCUGCGGGUGAGCAGAGCAGUCCCUUCGUGGUCGCCAACUGAAACGAUACGCGGAAUAAAUAAAUAGCCUCCAUAACCUGGGUUAGUUAUGAAGUGGACGUUCCAUAUGCAAUACACUGCACGACUUUUUCAUGCGUAUUCAACCCCUGGCCCCGCCUGUCCUCGCUUCUCAUGCUAAGUAAGUCCACGCCCUUCUGGGCAUGCGUGGUUUGCUGUGGUGGUCGUACGGGGGUCACUUGGUGGUCCUGAGGCUGAAGAUUAUGGUCUUCCUCAUGAUUGAACUUUUGAACUUUUCCUCUCUGCGUGUGCGCUUUUGGUCCUUUGGUGCUUAUCUGAGUACGUCUGUCAGUCUUGAUAGGCUUGGAGACAGAGGAGCUUCUUUAUCUGGGUUCUUUGCUUCUUCUGGUAUUGUUCUAUAUGCAAGAAGCUUCAGAAAUUAGCAUUUUCCUUUGGCCUUUGCAUUAAGCAGAGGUUUCUUAAGUAAAAGGUUGAAAAUUCAACAGAUAACUCUACAAGCUAAAUUAGAAAUGCUUAAUUCAUUUUGUUAACCUAACUCUAAAAAUCUCUGUUUCACCUCGAGAGCUGUCACAGAGCAGAAGGGCAGCUGAGAUGCUGAAAAGCAGCAAAGCUGAACAGCCUGCCUCAGUUUCAGCAGUGUGCAAUUGACUGAAGGCAAAACACGAAGCAGCAGAGCAGCGGGCUUCUGUGCGCACUGAAGGCAAUUGCAAGAAUCCAGCAGCUGCUCCUUGCCAAGCACAGGCAGCUGCCUAGGUUCUUGCUUCUUGACCAACUCACAGUUGCCCUUCUUUUCAGCAGCUGCCACCGUGUUCUCUGCAUUUCGGAGCCUCUGGGGAGCAACAAGAAUUUCCAAGGUGGUGUAAGAGCCCGUCUGAAGCCCCUCAUUUUCCGUUCUGCCUUCCGAUAGCCACGAGAAAGAAUCCCUUCCUCCACUGCAGUUCCGGCUUAGAACAGGACACAGUGCAGGUGCAACCACUGAACCGUCAUGCUAGCUGUUCCGAACAAGGCCUGGCAAGAACUUGGCAAGGACUUGGCAAGGACUUGGCAAAGACCUGACGUGGACCCAGCACGGGACAGCCUGAUGCGCGGCCUGCUUCUAAUCUCCGUUCUUAAGCCAAAUGAACUUUUGGGGUGACUCCCGGGGUCCUUCAUUGAAGACCCCUCAUCUGCCUCGUUACCAGUGGGACAAACAAAGAAUGAGAAACCUCCUCCCAAGGACUGAGACUGAGACCCCUGCUACAGGGAGGAGGGGAAAUUGGUGGUCUGACCACUAAUGACAUGACCUGUUUCCCUUCAGUGAUUCAAAUGGACUUAUUCUUCAUUGUAUUCGUCUUGCUUUGGUGGUUUCUGUGGACUCACCUGUUCCCGCGUGGCGAUUACAAUGGACUUUCGUUGUUCCACUUGCUCCCCCCUCUUUCCUCUGUGGACUAUAACUGGAGCCCCGAGUCGACCAGAACUUCGGAGACUCCCCCGACACGACAGACGGAUCCCCAUCGUCCGGACCACUGAGGAUCUCGCCUGUGUUGGUAGCUAUUCCCAUACCCCUCUUCUCUCUCUCUCUCUCCUUUUAUCUCCUUUCCGAUCCCCACUAUCGCAUUUACUGUUUUGGCCCCUAAUAAAGGUGCAUUUGUUGUGAUUAA